GGCGCGUCUUGCAAACUUUGCCUGGUGCCCCCCCUGCCGGCUCUGGGAGGAAACGGGAACCAGCUCCCAACCUUGGGGUCUGCAGCCGGGGACCAAUGGUUUUCUCAAUAAUUUUCCUGCUUUUGAGUACAUAAUUCUAUGCAGAUGAUAAGCAGAUGAGUCGGGGAGGGGGGCAUUUCCCAGCUAACAAAGAGCUUUGUUAACGCUGGAGCCGUGUGCCCUUAAUCAUGUUUCGUUUUUUAGAAAGAGCCUUUUAUAGUGUGGGCGGAGCUAACUGAACCCUAGUUAAAAUCCUCUACAAAGUAGUUGAAUAAUUUUGCACAAGGCACUUACCCUCUUUGGACCUCUGGCCCUUUUUAUAACAUGAAGGGCUAGAUUCGGGUUCUGGGUGAGGGACUGGGAUAAAGGAACAAAUCAGAUUCCAUGUGAAGCCUGUGUACAGUCUGAGGCCCCAAGCCUUUUAAGAACCACUAUGUCUACUAGGGUUAACUGCCCUCUAAAUUGUCCUAAUAUGGCUUCUUAUUCCUUGAUGGAGAAUCCUAGAGGAAGGGUGUACCCACACUUUAGCUUAAAUAAAAAGGUAUUUAUUCCUAAAACUGACGGAGGGCGGGGAGGGAGCAUGACCAAGUCUCCCUCUGUCGCCCAGGCUGGAGUGCAGGGCGUGAUCUCAGCUCACUGCAACCUCCGCCUCCCAGGUUCAAGCAAUUCUCCUGCCUCAGCCUCCCGAGAAGCUGGGAUUACAGGCGCCCACCACCACGCCCGGCUAGUUUUUGUAUUUUUAGUAGAGACGGGGUUUCGCCCUGUUGGUCAGGCUGGUCUCGAACUCCUGGGUUCAACCGAUCCUCCUGCCUCGGCCUCUCAAAGUGCCGGGUUUACAGGCGUGAGCCACCCCUCCUGGCCCUAACAUUUUUAUACAAGUUUGCCAUCUCCGUACCACCACCACCACCACACACAGCACCCUCAAGACUCCCUGUGAUCCUGGGAUGCACUCAACGAAGAGUGUGUGGCCCAGGAUUUGAUGGAAAUGCUACAAGAGAAGCAGGCUCUCCCCUUCUGAAAUGAUGAGUGAUAAUGACCAUACAGGUCAACUUUUCCACCACUUGGAGGGAGCCUGUCAAAGAACAAAGGCAACAGAGAAGAGAGCAGAGCUGAGGUUGGGUGAGAGGGAGAAAUUCCUGAGUGCUUGAAUCCCACAUGCCGGAAGCCGCACCACACUUGGACUUCUCAAUACAGGAGCCACUGAGAAACCAAGUCAUGCUGAAGACCUGGAAAUCCCAGCAGGCUGCAAACCAGCUGCAACUACAAUGGGUCAGCCCUUUUGAGAUGCUGCUGACUACCCACUUAUCUGCCAAGUUAGCCAGUGUUAAGCCAUGGAUUCACCACGCUCAGAUAAAACCUGCCCCUCUGGGAUCCCUCCAGAAAAAAACAGGCAUGCUGUUGUGAACCCUAAGAUGGCCUUAAGUUAAUAUUCAAUGCCCAGCCAAAGACCCUAAAUAAGAAGUCAUAAAGGAAACAUGUGCUUUUCAGAGUCUCACUCUGUCACUCAGGCUGGAGUGCAGUGGUAUAAUCUCAGCUCACUGCAACCUCCACCUCUCAGGUUCAAGCAAUUCUCAUGCUUCAGCCUCCCAAGUAGCUAGGACUACAGGUGUGCACCACCAUGCCCAGGUAAUUUUUGUAUUUUUAAUAGAUACAGGGUUUCACCACGUUGCUCAGGCUGGUCUUGAACUCCUGACCUCAAGUGAGCCACAUCUGCCUCAGCCUCCCGGAGUGCUAGGAUUGCAGGUGUGAGCCACCACACCCAGCCAUGAAUCAGAAAUACUUUUUAAUAGGCUUAGGAUUGUUCUCUUGGAUUCCUUAAGGGAUCCACUUUAAUUCUUGGGUGUUUUUUUUUUUUUUAAUCAUGGUGCUCCAACAAGCGGGAUGCCAGUCAGGUAAUCCUGAGCACUUCAGAUUCAGGGGUGAUGUUUGCAUUUCCCAUCAUUAUCCCACAAUGCACCCCUUAGCAUUAAGUAGCCAAAAAGGCAGACAACCAUAUUCCCCAUGAUCGAAAAAUUGAUGAAUAGAAAAAAGGGGAUUAAAACCAGCCCAAUUGUCCCAUAGAAAUGAUAUUACGGUUUUUAAAAGAAACAUAAAAAUUAACCUUCCUGUUUUUAAAAUUUAAAACUUACAUUUAUCUCAUCUGAAUUCCUUCCUCAAAAAACAGACACUCAGGCAAAAACAAAAACCUAAAACUCAUCAGAUCACUGUAUCCAGACAGAGACGCCAGACCCCUCAUCCAUCAUGAUUGCUUCUAUACUCCUCCUUAAUUCCUAUUUUCCCACCUUUCCUGCUAUACAAAACCCCCAAUUUUAGUCGGUCAGACAAACACAUUUGAGACUUUAUCUCCUGUUCUCCUUGGCUGCAACACCCCGUUAAAGUUUUCUUCCCUGGCAAUAGUUACUGUCUCAGUGAUUGGCAUUCUGUGUAACAAGCAGCAGAACCUAGACUGGAACCCUGGUGUUUCAGUAACAUUACCUUGUAGUAAAUGCUGUUGUGUCAUGCCCAGAUUCACUUUACCAAGCCCAGAUCCCACAGAUUAAAGGGCUCAGCUCCACAAGACUUCAGACACCAGCCACAAAUGGGGUCCCCAGGUGACCCACACUUCUGCCCAGUGGACUAUAAAUUCAAGGGUUCUGUGACUUUCCCUACCCAGCUUUGAUAAUUCACUAGAAUCCUCACAGAACUCAGGAAAAUGCCAUACCUACUAUUACACUUUAUUAUGAUGGACACACACGAGCAGCCAGAUGGAGGGGUACUGAGGAAGCAUCUGAAUGCAGGAGGCUCUGUCCCUGGAGAGUUGGGAUGAGCCACUCUCCUGGAUGUGUUCACCAACUCAGAAGCUCUCCAAGCCCCAUUGUGUAGGGAUUUUUUAUGGCAGUUUCAGUAAGUACACAUGAUUGAUUAAAUCAUUGGCCAUUGGUGAUUGAACUCAAUCUCUAGCCCCUCUCCUGCUCUCAGAGGUGGAAGAGCAAGGCUGGAAGUUCUAACCUUCUCAGUACAUGGUUGGUUUUUCCUGUGUCCAGGUCCCAUCCUAAAGCUACCUAGGCCCCCUCUGCCCAACAAGAGUCUUCUCAUUAGCAAAAGAGUAAUUUCCAAGGGUGUUAGGAGCUCUAUGCUGGGAACCAGGGACCAAGAGUAAAUAUAUAUUUUGUAUUUUACCACAGGUACCAAUCACCCUCCAGAUCUAAGAAUGGCUUCAGGCUGGGGCUGCAGUCACCUCUUUGCCCAGCUUCUCCCCUGCCCUAUUCUGCUUCACUUGCAUCCUUAAAGGUUCCACCCAAGAGCUCUUCUACAAGAAAGCACCUAUAAAGCCAGACACAUUGGCUUAUGCCUAUAAUCCUAGCACUUUGGGAGGCCAAGGUAGGAGGAUGGCUUGAGGCCAGGAGUUCAAGACCAGCCUGGGCAACUUAGUGAGGCCCCGUCUCUAUAAAAAAUAAAAAAAUUAACCAGGUGUGGUGGUGCACGUCUCUAGUCUCAGCUACUCAGGAGGCUGUGGCAGGAAGAUGGCUUGAGCCCAGGAGGUUGAGGCUGCAGUGAACUAAGAUCAUGCCACUGCACCCAUCUUGGGCAACAGAAUGAGAUCCUGUCUCUAAAAAAAUAAAAACAAUUUACAACAGUAAGCACCUGUACACAAGCCCCAUCUCCAGUCCUGUUUCUAGGGCUUCCAAUUUAACACACCUAGAGGCUGGGCAUAGUAGCUCAUGCCUGUAAUCCCAAUACUUUGGGAGGCUGAGGCAAGUGAAGCACUUGAGGUCAGGAGUUCGAGACCAGCCUGGCCAACAUGGCAAAACCCCAUCUCUACUAAAAAUGCAAACAUUAGCUGGGCAUGGUGGCACAUGCCUGUAAUCCCAGCUACUCGGGAGGCUGAGACAGGAGAAUCACUUGAACCCAGGAGGUGGAGGUUACAGUGAGCCAAGAUCACACCACUGUACCACAGCCUGAGCAACGAAAGAAGACUCUGUCUAAAAAAAGUAAAAAAUAAAAUAAAACACACCUGGAGCUUUCUAC
rnacentral:lncRNA from 1 species